rnacentral:lncRNA from 10 species
GUAGGUUGACUGUCGGGACAAGCCCAGGGAUGGCAUUGUUUCUAUUUGCUGAUAAAUGACUCUGGGGCUGUGAAGACUCAGACCCAAGGAGUGACUCAGAAAGUCAGGGGCCCAUGUCAUUCUGCUCUGGGUUCAGACGUGCACUGCAGCAGCACCGGGACUUGACAGCCCUACGGCUCGAUCAGCUUUCUGUUUUCAUUGCCUUACGAUGCCAUGAGUGGAACUAUUGUCAAAUCAGAGUUCACUCCCCAGCUUUUCAGUCUUUCCCCUAAUUCUUGCUCUAUCAGAGGUCGAGGACAACAGUAUAAUGAUUCAUAGGUUCUACUUCCUGGCAAGUAAUCAUUUUCCCACGGGCCCUUGUGAAUUGAUGAAUAUGAAGACACUAAGAAAGCAGAAAUAGAACUGAGAAGAAUGAAAUAACUGUCUCUACCUUUCUCGAAUUGUCUAAUAUGGAAAGAAUGAAAGACAGCUAAUAAGCAACUCUCUGCAAGAAGACAUAUGGCUUAGGUUCUGCUGAGCUAUUGGUGAUUUGAUUCCAUGCAUAUGUAUUCACUACUGGUAUAAGUAUAUACAAUAUAUGUGUUUCUGCAAAGAAUCGUAGACUUGAUGCAUUUUUUAAUAUUUCUUAAGGACUUACUACUGAGUGUCAGUAUGAGAGGAUCGUUUACUUCCUUUUCCCAUUAAUUUUGAUAGCCUGGAUUGAGCAACUUUCUUACCUAGUUUUGUUUUAUGAGGUGCAUUAGCUUUUUCUUUGUGUGUAUGUUUGUGUGUGUGUAGCUUUAUUAACCAUAUUGUUUGGGCUUUUGAUAAAGCAGAGAUUCUGAUAUGGUAUACAUUUUGAACUAAGCAUUCAUUUAUUCAGCAGGGAUGUAUGUUUAAGACACUGUGUUAGCCAAGGGUGAGAAGGCGUGUGGAAUGGUAGAGGAGCAAGGUGAGGUAAGAUGAUUAAAAGACACCAGCUGAGAGUGUUAUUUUAUAUGGCAGAAGGAUGUUUGCAGAUGCAAUUAAGUUAAGGACCUUGAGAUGGGGUAUGUUAUCCUGGUAGGCCCAAUGUAUACAUCAGGGUCCUUAUGAAAGGGAGGCAGGAGAACAGAAUGAGUAGUGAGAAGAGUGAAUGGACAAUACUGAGGACAUGCUUAGGGACCCAAAGAAGCUUGCUAUGGUAGGGCUUGGUGGACUCUGUACUGAUGAGAAAGGCUAGGCCAUGCUAUGGAAGCAAAUAAAUCUGUUGUAAAGUGACAGAGUUUCUCUCUUGCUCAUGCAAAGUCUGCUAAAUGGCUGAGUGAUUCUCAAGGGCAUCCCUCACUCAUGUGAUGGCUCUGCUGUGUGUGCAUCCCUGCUAGCCAGGCAGGUCAGGAGAAUGUUAGAAAUGAAACACUUCCUUCUGGUGGCCAAAAGAAGUCACAUGGCUACAUCUGUUAAUAAUUCGAAGGUUGUAGACAGUAUAAUAUUCCCUUGUCCUAAAAGAGGGAAGCUAGAAAUAUUGGUAAGCAGCACAUAUAUCUUCCCCAUGAUCCCAACUUUGUUGGGUAGAGAAGCAUUUUAAAUAACUUUGGAAUUUACAUAUAUUCCUCAAAUAUCUAGUGGUAACUCCAUGUCUAAAUCCAGGGUACCCACUUUCUUCCCUAAACAUGUUUGAAAGUCCUGCAUUCUCUCAGUAUUGUUACAGAGCCACAUUUCAGUUGAAUUGGUAGUGCUGAGAAAAGCGUUAUUUAUUUUAUUUUUAUUUUAGUUUUUUUUAGAGACUGGGUUUUGCUGUGUUGCCCCGGCUGAUCUUGCACUCCUGGUCUCAAGUGCUCCUCCUAUCUCAGCCAUCCGAAUAGCUGGUAUUACAUGUGCACACCAUAAUGAGAAAAGCAUUAUGAUUAACCUAGUAAAUUGAUUUUUAAUACUGCAUUAUUUGAUUUUCAAGGACUUAAAAAACCACUUCCAGAGAGCUAGACACAAUGAAUACAAGCAAGCUAAUAAUGAAAGUGAGAAACCACAUGCUGCUGAAUUGAGUAUGUAGCAACAUUUGUAAAGAAAUGGCAAAUCAUAUCUAAUUAUUUCAUUGUGCUUACCUUUCUUCAGUCAGAAAGCCUUCGGCAUCUAGUGCAUUUCUACAGAUAUUCCGUGGUGAUUUAAUAUCAAUUAAUAUCAACCUGCAGCAAAGUGUUGACAGUGUUUCUAAAUUCACAAGCCCAACAUUUUGCAGUAUUGGGCAUAAGUGAAGGAGCUUUCCAGGUUGCUGCUAAAAGCAACUCAAAAAGAUGCGAAGUAGAUGUGAAACCUUCAUAUUUGGUACUUCUAUAGCAGAUUGUCUUCUCUCCUAGAAGAGAGGCCAGGAGACAGACUAACCCAUUUCUCUAAUCCAUAUGUUGUUCGCUGAGGCUCCCAAAGCUCUGGGAAGUAAUUUACUUGCAGUUCUCUAGAGAUGGAGGCAGGGAGCUUGAGUGUGAGUCCAGUGGAGACUGUCUUUGGAAUUUCAUCUGAUCACAGGGUCACUGUCCAUUUCUCUUCUCAGCAGGCCUAGGAAAACACCAGGACUAACCCCCUGGAGGGAGCCUAGCUUCAGGAUUAAUUAGGGCUUGAUUAAUUAAUUAAGAAUCUACUUGGAGAGAGUCAAACACAGAAUCCCUUUGAAUUUAAUGGCCAUUCCAGGUGAUUUGAACAGCCAAAUAAGAAACAGGUCCUCUUCAAUGUACAAUCUGCCAAGUAUGAAGUCUGAAUGACCAUCAUUAUUAUGUAUUUAAUGUGCAUAGAAAAUCUAUCUGCAACCUUCCAGAGUGUACCAGAAGUUUGGAAUGUACAUUAUUAUUGGCUCCAUCUCAAACCACUCAUAAAUCAAAGAAAAUAGCAGUUCCAGAGGAAUCAUCAUAGAGGCUUCUAGGCCCCCAUGCUGUGUGAACCUGGUGAGAAAGGGAAGUCUGCUCUCACUGGACACUGGAACUGUUUGUCUCUGUCUCUGCUGUACUUUCCCUGCCUCUACCUCACUUAGUAAAGAAAUCAUCUUUGCUUGAUAACUAAAACAACCAAUAAGGCUGAGAAAGGGGAAAACCCACAUCUGGAUUUAAAUACAAGGUAUUGGGCCAGCUGCUGGGGAUUAAACUUUGAACAAAACAGAUAGAAUCUAUGUCCUCAUGGGAGUGGCUAAUGGGAGAGUCGGAACAAAAAAAUAGCCAAGGAUAAUCCAGCAAAUGAUUUGGUGAAUGCUAUCAAAGAGAGAAAUACACAUGCUCUGGGAACACCAAGUAGGUACCUAAUACCUAACCUGUACCUGGGGGGCUGGAAAGGGCUUCUUGGAAGAGGCAGAGACUAAAAUGAAGAAUAAGCAUAAGUUAAGACAAAGCUGGGGUGGGGUCAGAAAGAGUGUGAUAGGCCAACGCAGCAACAUGAGCCAAGACUCAAAAAUAAGAGACAGUGUGGCACAUUUGAUGUAGGAAAGACAUUUAGCUGGGAUAGAAAGAAGGCUAGUGUUGGGGCUGAAUGAGGUUGCAUAAAAGUUUGUAAGCCAAGUUAAGGAAUUGAUCAAAUUUAUAUUUUAGAAUGAUCACUCUGACCUCAGCAUUACAUGACCUGAAGGGGUUAAGCCCAUACAUCUGUAGAGAGACCCGUUAGAAUAGGACUGCAGUAAUAUGGUGAGAGACACUGGUGCCUAACUAGGCUGGUGAUCAUAGAGAUAAAGGGAUAUAUGGGAGAGGUAGAGCCGACAGCCAUUGAUAACUGGUGGUCGGCCAGGUCAAGGGGACAGUGUCUGCUUUAGGUAAUUGGCUUGAUGAUAAUCUCAUUUUCAAAGAUCAGGAACACAGGCCUGAGAGUACAUUUGGAGAGGAAGAUGAUUCGGGUUUGCAUCAUGUAGGGUUCGAGGUGUCUAUGGGACACUAUAUGCAGAAGUCCAGUAGGCAAUUGGUUCUGUGGGCCUAGCACUCAGAGGAGAGUGCGAGUCUAAUGACAGAAAAUUGGCAGUCACCAUCGUGUAGAUGGUAAUGGAUGGUAUGAUUUGGGGUGAUUGCUGAGGCAGGAACAUGGGCACAAUGCUGAGGAGUGCAAAUGGCUAAGGGAUGGGACACAGCAGGAACCUGCAAAGGAGCCCAGAAAACAAGAAAUAGGGAGAAAGCCUGGGAACACUGUGAUUCUACGGAAUCACAGAAUUGAAGACAAACAAUGUGAAACUAAGUACAGGCCCAUUUACUAACAUAUGUGUGUGUAUAUAUAUAUAUAUAUAUAUAUAUAUACACACACACACAUAUAUAUACUUAUAUAUAUAUACACACACAUAUAUAUACUUAUAUAUAUAUACACUUAUAUAUAUAUACUUAUAUAUACUUAUAUAUAUAUACACUUAUAUAUAUAUACUUAUAUAUACUUAUAUAUAUAUACACUUAUAUAUAUAUACUUAUAUAUACUUAUAUAUAUAUAUAUAAAAUUUAUUUAUUUAUUUUUAUUUUAUUUUAUUUAUUUAUUUUUGAGACAGAGUCUCCCUCUCUGACCCAGGCUGGAGUGCCGUGGUAUGAUCUCGGCUCACUGCAACUUCUGCCUCCCAGCUUCAAGCAAUUCUCCUGUCUUAGCUUCCCAAGUAGCUGGGAUUACAGGCGUGCACCACCACACCAGGCUAAUUUUGUAUUUUUAGUAGAGACGGGGUUUUGCCAUGUUGGCCAGGCUGGUCUCGAACCCCUGACCUCAGGUGAUCUGCCCACCUCAACCUCCCAAAGUGCUGGGAUUACAGGUGUGAGCCACUGCAUCUGGCCUCAUAUAUUUUACUAUAACAAAUCAGUGUAGGCCAAAUAAAGUUAGAAAUGGAAGCUAAUGGAAAUAAAGAAUAGGCUUUCCUGUUAGUAUCUAUAGGUGUGUGUGUGUGUGUUCGUUAUUUAGGGAAAGAAACAGGGAACUUGGGGCAUAUAAUAUUUAUGUUCCCUUAGCUUAGGCAUAUAUGGUAUAUUUAGUUACUUAAUUAAUUUUUUAUUUAGAAGUUAUGUAUAGAGCAUUUUUCCUAGGCCAGUGGGGGAUUAAACCAGAAAUAUAAGAAGUGUCUGCCUUCUGGAAGCUUGUGAUCUAGUUAGGGGUAUCACAAGUGCACAGCGUUCACCAGUGGCAGAGAAGCAUGUGAUGAGUACCCAGAGCUUAUAUUGAGAAUAAGGUAUACAAGAAUUUAGAGGAGGCCAAUGUUGAUUUUCACCAAGAGUAUGGGACAGAGAGACAAGACAGGGUUGGUCAUCUAGUUCUGUGCACUGAAUAUAAUUUUGCAGGUUUAGGAGUGUUUGAAAACUACAAGGAAGAUAGAAUCUUGGUCUUGUUCUCCAGCAUGCCCUUUCUUGAACUCACCAGGGUAAUGCUGCAUCUUUUCAGAAAUGCCUCUGGCUUCUCAAAGCAACUUUCAUCCUGGAGAGGAACAAUUAGUCUUUGUCUUUCAUUAGUAAAAGAUUUAACGGCUCAGAAGGAGAAGCUAGUGGUGACUUUUCAAUCACCCCUUCUACCUCCCAG